GACGAAGGAUGCAAGCGUUAUCCGGAUUCAUUGGGUUUAAAGGGAGCGUAGGCGGAUUUGUAAGUCAGUGGUGAAAUCUUUGGGCUUAACCCAGAAACUGCCAUUGAUACUGCAAGUCUAGAGUACAGUUGCCGUUGGCGGAAUAUGACAUGUAGUGGUGAAAUACUUAGAUAUGUCAUAGAACACCGAUUGCGAAGGCAGCUAACGAAGCUGUAACUGACGCUGAGGCUCGAAAGUGCGGGGAUCAAACAGG
rnacentral:rRNA from 1 species